UACGAAGGGGACUAGCGUUGUUCGGAAUUACUGGGCGUAAAGCGCACGUAGGCGGAUUUGUUAGUCAGGGGUGAAAUCCCGGGGCUCAACCUUGGAACUGCCUUUGAUACUGCAAAUCUCGAGUCCGAUAGAGGUGGGUGGAAUUCCUAGUGUAGAGGUGAAAUUCGUAGAUAUUAGGAAGAACACCGGUGGCGAAGGCGGCCCACUGGAUCGGUACUGACGCUGAGGUGCGAAAGCGUGGGGAGCAAACAGG
rnacentral:rRNA from 1 species